rnacentral:rRNA from 1 species
CAGGAAGCAGCUUGCUGCUUUGCUGACGAGUGGCGGACGGGUGAGUAAUGUCUGGGAAACUGCCUGAUGGAGGGGGAUAACUACUGGAAACGGUGGCUAAUACCGCAUAACGUCGCAAGACCAAAGAGGGGGACCUUCGGGCCUCUUGCCAUCAGAUGUGCCCAGAUGGGAUUAGCUUGUUGGUGAGGUAACGGCUCACCAAGGCGACGAUCCCUAGCUGGUCUGAGAGGAUGACCAGCCACACUGGAACUGAGACACGGUCCAGACUCCUACGGGAGGCAGCAGUGGGGAAUAUUGCACAAUGGGCGCAAGCCUGAUGCAGCCAUGCCGCGUGUAUGAAGAAGGCCUUCGGGUUGUAAAGUACUUUCAGCGGGGAGGAAGGUGUUGUGGUUAAUAACCGCAGCAAUUGACGUUACCCGCAGAAGAAGCACCGGCUAACUCCGUGCCAGCAGCCGCGGUAAUACGGAGGGUGCAAGCGUUAAUCGGAAUUACUGGGCGUAAAGCGCACGCAGGCGGUCUGUCAAGUCGGAUGUGAAAUCCCCGGGCUCAACCUGGGAACUGCAUUCGAAACUGGCAGGCUUGAGUCUUGUAGAGGGGGGUAGAAUUCCAGGUGUAGCGGUGAAAUGCGUAGAGAUCUGGAGGAAUACCGGUGGCGAAGGCGGCCCCCUGGACAAAGACUGACGCUCAGGUGCGAAAGCGUGGGGAGCAAACAGGAUUAGAUACCCUGGUAGUCCACGCCGUAAACGAUGUCUACUUGGAGGUUGUGCCCUUGAGGCGUGGCUUCCGGAGCUAACGCGUUAAGUAGACCGCCUGGGGAGUACGGCCGCAAGGUUAAAACUCAAAUGAAUUGACGGGGGCCCGCACAAGCGGUGGAGCAUGUGGUUUAAUUCGAUGCAACGCGAAGAACCUUACCUGGUCUUGACAUCCACGGAAGAAUCCAGAGAUGGAUUUGUGCCUUCGGGAACCGUGAGACAGGUGCUGCAUGGCUGUCGUCAGCUCGUGUUGUGAAAUGUUGGGUUAAGUCCCGCAACGAGCGCAACCCUUAUCCUUUGUUGCCAGCGGUCCGGCCGGGAACUCAAAGGAGACUGCCAGUGAUAAACUGGAGGAAGGUGGGGAUGACGUCAAGUCAUCAUGGCCCUUACGACCAGGGCUACACACGUGCUACAAUGGCGCAUACAAAGAGAAGCGACCUCGCGAGAGCAAGCGGACCUCAUAAAGUGCGUCGUAGUCCGGAUUGGAGUCUGCAACUCGACUCCAUGAAGUCGGAAUCGCUAGUAAUCGUGGAUCAGAAUGCCACGGUGAAUACGUUCCCGGGCCUUGUACACACCGCCCGUCACACCAUGGGAGUGGGUUGCAAAAGAAGUAGGUAGCUUAACCUUCGGGAGGGCGCUUACCACUUUGUGAUUCAUGACUGGGGUGAAGUCGUAACAAGGUAACCGUAGGGGAACCUGC